rnacentral:tRNA from 1 species
GGCAAGAUGGUCGAGUGGUCUAAGACGACAGGUUUAGGCCCUGUUCUACAUUGUAGGCGUGGGUUCAAAUCCCACUCUUGUCA